AGCCUUUAUAGCUCAACGGUAGAGCUCGGUACUGUUAAUACUGAGAUAGAUGUUCGACUCAUCUUAAGGGCU
rnacentral:tRNA from 1 species